rnacentral:rRNA from 1 species
CCCGGUGCUUUUAGCGGUGGGGCCACACCUGUUUCCAUCCCGAACACAGAAGUUAAGCCCACAAGCGCCGAUGAUACUACUCAGUGGGAAAGUAGGUCAGUGCCGGGA